GAUGAACGCUGGCGGCGUGCCUAAUACAUGCAAGUCGAGCGAACGGACGAGAAGCUUGCUUCUCUGAUGUUAGCGGCGGACGGGUGAGUAACACGUGGAUAACCUACCUAUAAGACUGGGAUAACUUCGGGAAACCGGAGCUAAUACCGGAUGAUAUUUUGAACCGCAUGGUUCAAAAGUGAAAGACGGUCUUGCUGUCACUUAUAGAUGGAUCCGCGCUGCAUUAGCUAGUUGGUAAGGUAACGGCUUACCAAGGCAACGAUGCAUAGCCGACCUGAGAGGGUGAUCGGCCACACUGGAACUGAGACACGGUCCAGACUCCUACGGGAGGCAGCAGUAGUGAAUCUUCUGCAAUGGGCGAAAGCCUGACGGAGCAACGCCGCGUGAGUGAUGAAGGUCUUCGGAUCGUAAAACUCUGUUAUUAGGGAAGAACAUAUGUGUAAGUAACUGUGCACAUCUUGACGGUACCUAAUCAGAAAGCCACGGCUAACUACGUG
rnacentral:rRNA from 1 species